UGAAGAUGAACCUAGCAGUAGUAUUUACACCACUUGUUGUGUGCCCACUGUGGGCCUGGCGCCAUGCCGAGUGCUCUACGGAUGUGAGAGAAACGGAGGCCCAGAAAGCAGAAAUGAUGUGUUAAGAUCACUCAUCAAGCUGAUGGUACAGAGAUGAGAACACUGAAGCAGUUUUUUCUAAAAAUAGCUGCCUGGCACAGUGGCUCACAUCUGUAGUCCCAGCACUUUGGGAGGCCAAGGCAGGUGGAUCACUUGAGGCCAGGAAUUCAAGACCAGCAUGGCCAACAUGUUUUCCAUCCUUCCUUCAGUGCUGGGAGAGAAAAGCAUACGACAUAAACAGGGAGGUCAAGCUCCACCACGCAGAUGAGGUGCAGGCCACCAGGCUUCCUCUGCCACAUCUCUUUCUGAAAAGGCAGCCUGUGCUGAGAAACCAUGACUGAGUAAGCCAAGCUUUGUUGGCCGCACCUGCCAAGCCACAGGGUGCCUCAGGCUUGGGGCAUCCCGGAGCCAGUUACAACCCAAGACUUCAGCCUUCUGGAAGGUGUUGGGUCAGCCACCCUGAAGGACGAUCCUGCCCAAGUGACACGCUUUGCUCUUCCUUCUCACCCAGGACUUCACAUUCACCCUUGCAAUCCAUGUGGGGACACUGUUGGAUAGGAGGCGUGGUCCCAGUGUGGUCUCCCUGUCUGGGCCUCUGCCUAUGCCAAAUGUUUGCCUUACGCUG
rnacentral:lncRNA from 1 species